rnacentral:rRNA from 1 species
GACGAACGCUGGCGGCGGGCCUAAUACAUGCAAGUCGAGCGAAGCGGCGGAUGGGUGAAUAACGCGUGGGUAACCUGCCCUUACUUCUGGGAUACCAUUUGGAAACAGAUGCUAAUACCGGAUACUAAAGGCUGGACCUGCGAUGCAUUAGCUAGUGGGUAAGGUAACGGCUUACCAAGGCGAUGAUGCAUAGCCGAGUUGAGAGACUGAUCGGCCAAAUUGGGACUGAGACACGGCCCAAACGCCUACGGGAGGCAGCAGUAGGGAAUCUGCCACAAUGGACGAAAGGCGGAUAGAGCAACGCCGCGUGAGUGAAGAAGGUUUUCGGAUCGUAAAGCUCUGUUGUUGGUGAAGCGGUAAUCAACCAGAAAGUCACGGCUAACUACGUGCCAGCAGCCGCGGUAAUAC